GACGUAGGGCGCGAGCGUUGUCCGGAUUUAUUGGGCGUAAAGAGCUCGUAGGCGGCUUGUCGCGUCGACUGUGAAAACCCGCGGCUCAACUGCGGGCCUGCAGCCGAUACGGGCAGGCUAGAGUUCGGUAGGGGGAGACUGGAAUUCCUGGUGUAGCGGUGAAAUGCGCAGAUAUCAGGAGGAACACCGGUGGCGAAGGCGGGUCUCUGGGCCGA
rnacentral:rRNA from 1 species